rnacentral:rRNA from 1 species
AACGAACGCUGGCGGCAGGCUUAACACAUGCAAGUCGAGCGCCCCGCAAGGGGAGCGGCAGACGGGUGGGUAACGCGUGGGAAUCUACCCAUCUCUACGGAAUAACGCAUGGAAACGUGUGCUAAUACCGUAUACGUCCUUCGGGAGAAAGAUUUAUCGGAGAUGGAUGAGCCCGCGUUGGAUUAGCUAGUUGGUGGGGUAAAGGCCUACCAAGGCGACGAUCCAUAGCUGGUCUGAGAGGAUGAUCAGCCACACUGGGACUGAGACACGGCCCAGACUCCUACGGGAGGCAGCAGUGGGGAAUAUUGGACAAUGGGCGCAAGCCUGAUCCAGCCAUGCCGCGUGAGUGAUGAAGGCCCUAGGGUUGUAAAGCUCUUUCACCGGUGAAGAUAAUGACGGUAACCGGAGAAGGAGCCCCGGCUAACUUCGUGCCAGCCGCCGCGGUAAUAC